rnacentral:misc_RNA from 1 species
ACCUCGCUUGCAUUGAUUCUAAAACUAAAUGGACGAUUGGGAGACACUCACAGAUCCUAUUCUCCUAGCAGUAUUUUCCUACUUAGAUGUUCAGAAUUUAAGCGCUGCUGCCAGAACCUGCACGAACUGGUGGCGUAUUUCCUUUGACGAAUCUUUGUGGAAAGCUUUGGCCUUCCAAAGAGUAGGAUGUCGCUAUGCUUGUCAUGAUGACGUCACAUGGAAGUCGGAGCUGAAACGUUUGAUAUAUCAUGCCCCGGUGCAUUUGCACCAAACAUGCGUGGAACACCAUGACGAAAUAUAUUACAUCUGUUUCUCAAACAGCGGAAAUUUGAUUGCCACAUGUGGGGAAGACGGCAUUGUGAAUGUAUGGAAAUAUGGCAACGAAAUUCAGUUGCUGUUUUCCAGACAAGUCGUAGAUGAUCCCGAAUAUGUCAACUAUGUCGAGUUCAACCAAGCGGAAACUCACUUGAUCGCUCACUGCAUCACCAUGGGGGAAGAGUUUCUGCGUUUUGACGGGAUAAUAAUGGUAUUAUCCAUCCAUACAGGUGCAUUAUGUCCCGUGGCGGCCAGAAAUUCUGGAUUUGCACCAUUUAGAGGAACAUGGCUUGCUAAUGACACCUUCCUAAAUACCGAUGUUCUCGAAGAUUCCCCCGAUGAUGUUCAUUUUUUAGCUUGCAAAUUUUUCAAUAACGGCUCGGAAUACUCAUCAUUGAAUGAUCUGAUCACUGAAGAAAAUGUGGAGACAAAAACCGUCCUGCAAAUAAACCAACUAGACUCUGACCCGGAGUUUGUAAAAGUGAUAGACUGGUCCCAGUGGAAUGGGGGUGCAUCUAAUGUUUCAGGAGUUCUUUCGGAAACUAAAGAAAAAGUGCUGAUCCUGUAUUUGAAUAAUUUGAGCCAUAUAAAUGAAAACAGGCUAAAAUUCUACAGAGUUGAUUUGGACUCCACAGAUCCAGUGAUAUCGGAGCCAAUAAGAACAAUAAGAAUGAACUGUUUAGGACUUCAGCUAUCAGCAGAUCACAGGUGAUAUUACAACAUAUUUUUGAUUAUGAUCUCCAUAUAUAUCAUUUUUAUCAAAUCAUAUUGCUUGAAUAGGGUCGACUUGCAUCAAUUUUUAUAUAUUGUUUAUCAAAACAAAUAAUUUUCAAAGGCAAGAAACAAUUUUCAUGUGAAAUGCAGUUUGAGAAUCAAGAGUACUUUGGUGUUGGUGUAGUGGGCUUAUCCAGCGACUAUUACACAAAGGUCCAGUGUCGAUUCCAGACCCAGUCUUAUAUUUUCUGUAUAUAUUAAGUCGUUUUUCCUUUACUUAUAAUCCACACCAUCAUGAUAAGUAAAAUCAUUCAAAUGAGAAAAAAAUAGCAGAAUAUUUGAUUGUUCGUAAUUGUUUGAACACGUAGAUAUUUGGUAUGCAAUACAAGGCGGAUAACUGUUGAAGAAAACAAUUGGCGAAUUGAAAAGGAUGUCAUCACCAUGGUUAUUCGUUUGGAAAACACAGAGACAACGCCAGAAAUCUUUGGGGAAAACCAACCCAUGGAGAGCUCUUCAAUGUCCACUUACUUCUUCCCCCAUGUUUCUUCUGACUAUGUUGCAGCAGAGUCGGAUCGGGAUGUGAUUUUUCUAUGGGACCGGACGUCACGUCAAACUAUCUCCAAGUUAUCACACAGACUUCCGGGCCAGAAAAAUGGUGUCAGUGCCGUUGCUUUUCAUCCACGUGAUCAGGAAGUUUUAGUUACCGUUGCAGACGACUACAAACUUAGAGUAUGGAAGUCUCGGAACAGACUUAACUCUAUCGCAACCGGUACGAUGAGAUGAUUGUCGAUCGAUAAUUUUUUUUUUAUUCAUGUAUCAUGAUGUAUGACAAUGGAUGGAUGGUUGGAUGGUUGUAAAAUUGUAUGUACCUUAAAAACAAAAGUUAAUUGAAUUGCAGUGUCUUAAGAAAUUAUGAGGCGGAGGGUUAUUGUUCAGAUUGCAUUGCAAGUUGGGCCUUGGCAACUAAAGAUGGCAUUAGUGAUACAUGUUGCAUUUUUCUACCUGAUCAAAAGCUUUAUUCACCUUACCAGAAUAUUUUUUAAGCUAUUGUUGAAGAAAUGGACAAAUGGACAAACUUUUAAUAAAGACGUCUGAGAAGAGCAAGUUUGAAAUCCACAAAAACUGAUGAUCUGAUUUCGAGUAUAAAUGUUUUAUCUGGUGUCUUCUACAAUCCAUUUCCCCUUACGAACACGCAUUUUCAAGCACUAUUACCAUCGGUUAAAGAAAAAUUUUUCGUGGUAAAACAUUGUAGAAAGAUAUACAGAGGUAGAGAAGAAUUUAGUCACACAUCUCAGUUUGAAAUGCCUGUUUAGUUUUGUGGCUAUGAUUUGAAUCUUAAAACUUUCAAUGUACAAAUUAAAUUAUUGAAAACAUCUUACCUGUGGAUUUGAAAAGAAUUGGGGCGUUAAAAUUUUACAUGUACAUAUAAUUUGUUAUUAUAACAUGUUUUACUUUAGCUAUUUAUUAUCAUGUCUGUAUGUAUAAAUUAUCAUAUAUCGCCUUCUGUAUUUUUCGUCCACAUAUAUUUUCUAUCAAUCCAUUUUUCUAACUUUUUUAAAAAAGUUUUUAAAUCUCUCACUUUCGAAAUACAGUUAAUCAUGAUAAAUUGUUUGUGUUGUAUUGAACUCCCACCAUCACUGUUGAUUUAGUCAAUAAAAAUUCCUUAAUUAU